rnacentral:rRNA from 1 species
UGCAAGUCGAGCGGUAGCACAGAGAGCUUGCUCUCGGGUGACGAGCGGCGGACGGGUGAGUAAUGUCUGGGAAACUGCCUGAUGGAGGGGGAUAACUACUGGAAACGGUAGCUAAUACCGCAUAACGUCGCAAGACCAAAGUGGGGGACCUUCGGGCCUCAUGCCAUCAGAUGUGCCCAGAUGGGAUUAGCUAGUAGGUGGGGUAACGGCUCACCUAGGCGACGAUCCCUAGCUGGUCUGAGAGGAUGACCAGCCACACUGGAACUGAGACACGGUCCAGACUCCUACGGGAGGCAGCAGUGGGGAAUAUUGCACAAUGGGCGCAAGCCUGAUGCAGCCAUGCCGCGUGUGUGAAGAAGGCCUUCGGGUUGUAAAGCACUUUCAGCGGGGAGGAAGGCGGUGAGGUUAAUAACCUCAUCGAUUGACGUUACCCGCAGAAGAAGCACCGGCUAACUCCGUGCCAGCAGCCGCGGUAAUACGGAGGGUGCAAGCGUUAAUCGGAAUUACUGGGCGUAAAGCGCACGCAGGCGGUCUGUCAAGUCGGAUGUGAAAUCCCCGGGCUCAACCUGGGAACUGCAUUCGAAACUGGCAGGCUAGAGUCUUGUAGAGGGGGGUAGAAUUCCAGGUGUAGCGGUGAAAUGCGUAGAGAUCUGGAGGAAUACCGGUGGCGAAGGCGGCCCCCUGGACAAAGACUGACGCUCAGGUGCGAAAGCGUGGGGAGCAAACAGGAUUAGAUACCCUGGUAGUCCACGCCGUAAACGAUGUCGAUUUGGAGGUUGUGCCCUUGAGGCGUGGCUUCCGGAGCUAACGCGUUAAGUCGACCGCCUGGGGAGUACGGCCGCAAGGUUAAAACUCAAAUGAAUUGACGGGGGCCCGCACAAGCGGUGGAGCAUGUGGUUUAAUUCGAUGCAACGCGAAGAACCUUACCUGGUCUUGACAUCCACGGAAGUUUUCAGAGAUGAGAAUGUGCCUUCGGGAACCGUGAGACAGGUGCUGCAUGGCUGUCGUCAGCUCGUGUUGUGAAAUGUUGGGUUAAGUCCCGCAACGAGCGCAACCCUUAU